rnacentral:lncRNA from 1 species
UCGUAAAAUUUUGAAGUUGGUAUCUUUUUGCAGAGUUGUUCUUGUAUUGGAAUUGAAGUUAGGGGCGAAGGAAAAUAAUGAUGGAGAAGAAAGUUUGUUUGCUGGAAAUGAGGUUGCUUGGAGAAAUAGUGGUUGCGUGCAAGAAGGAAUGGGGAGUUUAAAAAAAAUAAAAAAUAAAUAUAUGGCUCCGUGUUUUGUGCACGAAGCAGUUGCUUUGCUCUGUGCACAAUGCACGGAGCAACAUGCGAGCACAGAGCUAUACAUUUGAAUUUUAUUUUUUUUGGUAACAAAAAAUGACUAUCCUUUUCUUUUCUUUUCUUUCUUUCUUUUUUUGCGUUCUAUCUUUUUCUUUUUUCUCUUUUUUUUUCCCCAUUGUUGUUGGUAAAAAAAAAUAACAGAGACAUUCAUCGCCAUUUUUCUCUCAUUUUCUCUGUCUAACAAUUUUCUGUAAACUCUCUCACUACAUCAUAAACAGUAUCAUCAAAAUUGGCUGCUUCAUUUGCCAAUUUUAAGGUAAUGUGAUUGAUUAAUUUUACCGGAUGAAAUCUUGAACUCAUACAACCCAUUCCUUUCUUCUUCGAUUCUUAAGUCAGAGUUAAGGAUUUAAUAAUUACGAUUUGGAUUGAAAUGUGUUCAUUUCUUUUUUCUACAAUUGUUAAUCUGUAGCAUUUAGUUAAUAAGCUCGUUUGUCUUUAAUGGUGAAUUGAAAUAAUUUUAUUUUUAGUUUUAGUUUCAUUUCUUUUUUCUGAAAGUUGUUAAUCUUUAGCAUUUAGUUAAUAAUGCCGUUAGUAUUCCUCAUUUGCUUUUUAAUGGUGAAUUGAAAUAGUUUGAUUUUUAGUUUUAAUUGAUAUUACUUGCAUGUCAAACUGAUUUUGAUAGUAUGAACUAGGGAGUAAAGUGUUCACUGUCUUUAAUUGAUUCAAGUCUAGUGUUCACUGUCUACAUUAAUUUGAAGAUAAUUUGAAGAUGGGAUGUUAUUUUAAUCAAUGCUUAUGAUAUUGAGGGCAAAGCAAAAAUAAAUAAGAUUUAAGAAGAUGUCUUGGGCUUUCUUCUGAUGAUGUCAGGCAGCCAUUGAUAAGUCUGAUUAGUUUCUAUGUUUUACUCCAACUAUAAUGGAAGGACAAUAAGGAUUUUUUAUUUAUUAUUAAUUAAUGGGAGACAAGCUGUCGACGACCCAAAAACAGCGUCUCCUUCAUUCAAAUUUGCAUGAAGUCAUAAGUAUUGAAGAGGAUAUUGAGACUUCUUACAGGCUUGAUUUUCCAAUCAGGAAUGUUAUUUUAAUAUUAUAAUGAGGGGCUAAAGGUCUUUUUGAUGAAGCAUUUGUAUUGUUUUUUAAGAGAAAAGUCUGUAAGCAAGCUUAUUAAACCUAUUUCGGCUUUGUGUGGUAAUGGAAGAUUGGUGGACUUGUUUAAAAAAUUGUGGGUAUUGAGGAGAAUAGGCGGAUGUGAUGCCGUAAGCAAGAAAUAUAUGGGGUUUUGUCAUGAAGGAAUGUGGGUUAGGUUUUGGGGUCAUUCCAUACACUAAGUUGAUUUACUUUAAGAUUCAGAUCAAUGUAAUCUAUGACGAAAAUUAAAUUUACACCUGUAGAAGUUCCAGCAGUAAGUGUCAUUAUAUCGCCAUUAGUUCUUGCACUGAUUGCUAAAUUGACGACUGAUAAGAUUUGUUCAUGAUCAGCUCCCAUAUCUUCUGCAACUUCUAUACAAUGAGAUGCAACAAGAACUGUUGCAGAUGCAAUUCCUGUAGGUUUCUUAUUUUGGGCGGUUGCUUUUUCUGGAAAGGUCAUUGAUGAGGCUGCAAGGGCUGUGAAUAUUUGUAAACCCGUAAGUUGAAAAGGUGAGUUUUAAG